AAUAACGACUUCCGCCUCACUAACUCAGGUGAACCAAGUCAUUUCUCUCUAGCUCAUUACCUGUGGCAGUCGUCCGUCUACCAGGUGUCUGUUUGGUCAGGACAAUGAUGAACGUAACUCUUCUCUCAGCUGUGUCUAUACUACUCGGGAGACACGAAUCAUUAAGUACGUCACCUGGGUACACCUGUGAGGGGCCCACACCACUGUUCCUGAGGGCCCCCUGUGUCUACCUGUCUCUCCUCCCACCCGAUGACAACCUGAAUAAACUACUAAGCUUAACAUGGCCAAGAUUAGACAGUUCCUGGUACAAGAGGCGGUGGAUGGAGGGCGAGAGAUCGUCCUCAACUGAAGAAGGCCCUCAAACACAGCACGACAGAUCUUCGUUUCCUGCAGAUGACAAUGAUGGCGGCACAUCCCUCAACCAGUAACGCGUAUCACCACUGAUGUCAUAG